UAUGGCCAUGUCACAUUCAAACACCAGUUCUCAUAUGAUCACCAAAGUUAAGCAAUGUUGAGCCCGGUCAGUACUUAGGUUGGUGACCACUUGGGAAUACCAGGUGCUGUAA